rnacentral:rRNA from 1 species
AAAACAAGAUUGAACGCUAGCGGGAUGCCUUACACAUGCAAGUCGAACGGCAGCACGGACUUCGGUCUGGUGGCGAGUGGCGAACGGGUGAGUAAUGUAUCGGAACGUGCCCAGUAGCGGGGGAUAACUACGCGAAAGCGUAGCUAAUACCGCAUACGCCCUACGGGGGAAAGCAGGGGAUCGCAAGACCUUGCACUAUUGGAGCGGCCGAUAUCGGAUUAGCUAGUUGGUGGGGUAACGGCUCACCAAGGCGACGAUCCGUAGCUGGUUUGAGAGGACGACCAGCCACACUGGGACUGAGACACGGCCCAG